rnacentral:lncRNA from 1 species
CUUCCUUUUUCCAAUAUUGUAAUGGGCCUAUUCUAAACAUGAUGUGAAGGUGACGUUUGGUGUUUUCGGCAGGAUCUCCGAGUGCGGGGACACCCACGCUGAGACGGUCAUGCAGCUGCGCAGCGAGCUGCGAGACAAAGAGAUGAAGCUGACCGACAUCCGUCUGGAGGCCCUGAGCUCCGCCCACCAGCUGGACCAGCUCAGGGAGUUCAUGAACCGCAUGCAGUGGGACUCAAACCGGAAACCUCUGCCCUCCUAGAAAUGCAUAUAAAAACAGAAAUGUAAUGUUUAAAAAAUGAUUGAUUGAUAAUUGAAAUUAUGAUGUACAUCAACAUUAAAAAACUUUAGUCAUGCUUUAGCUUCCAUCUGCGCGCAUGUGUGUAGGUUCACCCUCCACUGACUUAACUGAAAAAACGUCCCACACAGGCAAAUGACUAGAGGUGGUUCAUCUGUCUUGUUUCAUUUAAUAAUGACCCUAAAUCAGUCCCACUCGGAUCUUGUGAGGGUUUGUUGAGAUACUUACUGCCAAAAUGACUUAGUAUCGCUAUGUUGUGGGAAAUGUCAAAAUUGUGGUAACAAUUUGUGGUGAUUUUGAAUUUAAUUAUAAAAGCGAACGCAAAUAAUGCAAUUUGCGUGAAUUUGCAAAAUCAAAAAAUCCUGGAGGGAUGCCUAUUUGUAGUAACAUACAUGCAACUAUGUUUUAACUGUUCUUAGGUUUGAGGUGGUUUGCAGUUACACAUUAGGUUAAAUGUGUAGUCUUAACUCUGACUCUUCACUACUAAUUAUAUGUUGUACUGAAUAUUAUACACAUGUUCCUUUACAUAACCAUAUGUGCAAAUCUUUCAGUUUAUACUGUGUAGGAAUUAUGGGUAUUUAAUCUGAACCCUACCCAGUAUUUUUCCAAUUUGGCAUAUUCUAGUCUACUGUUACUCUUCCAUCAUCAUUUUUAGACUGUGUGACCAAAUACUGAGGCUCUGAAUGACUGUGGAAGUGUGUAUAAUAAAACUUGAUGUGCACAAAAUUCUAAAAGUUGU